GUCACAGUCGCCCAAAGGAAGGGCAAAAACCUUCUAAGUUUUCAUGUGUAGGUUCGAAUCCUAUCUGUGACG
rnacentral:tRNA from 1 species